rnacentral:rRNA from 1 species
UGGGGAAUUUUGGACAAUGGGCGAAAGCCUGAUCCAGCAAUGCCGCGUGUGUGAAGAAGGCCUUCGGGUUGUAAAGCACUUUUGUCCGGAAAGAAAUCCUUGGCUCUAAUACAGUCGGGGGAUGACGGUACCGGAAGAAUAAGCACCGGCUAACUACGUGCCAGCAGCCGCGGUAAUACGUAGGGUGCAAGCGUUAAUCGGAAUUACUGGGCGUAAAGCGUGCGCAGGCGGUUUGCUAAGACCGAUGUGAAAUCCCCGGGCUCAACCUGGGAACUGCAUUGGUGACUGGCAGGCUAGAGUAUGGCAGAGGGGGGUAGAAUUCCACGUGUAGCAGUGAAAUGCGUAGAGAUGUGGAGGAAUACCGAUGGCGAGGGCAGCCCCCUGGGCCAAUACUGACGCUCAUGCACGAAAAGCGUGGGGAGCAAAACAGGAUUAGAUACCCUGGUAGUCCACGCCCUAAAACGAUGUCAACUAGUUGUUGGGGAUUCAUUUCCUUAGUAACGUAGCUAACGCGUGAAGUUGACCGCCUGGGGAGUACGGUCGCAAGAUUAAAACUCAAAGGAAUUGACGGGGUCAUAGCUGUUUCCU